CUAGGUGGACUUUUUAUGAGGAACACUGUUCAGGAGCACAGUGCAUUUCGGUUUGCUGUGCAGUUAUACAACACAAACCAAAAUACCACAGAAAAACCCUUCCAUUUGAACUAUCAUGUAGAUCACUUGGACUCUUCCAACAGUUUUUCAGUGACAAAUGCUUUCUGUUCACAGUUUUCCAGAGGAGUUUAUGCCAUCUUUGGAUUCUAUGACCAGAUGUCAAUGAACACACUGACGUCAUUUUGUGGAGCCCUUCACACAUCCUUCGUCACACCCAGCUUCCCAACAGAUGCAGAUGUGCAGUUUGUCAUCCAGAUGCGGCCAGCAUUAAAAGGAGCCAUCUUGAGUCUCUUGGCUCAUUAUAAGUGGGAAAAGUUUGUGUACCUGUAUGACACAGAACGGG